UACGUAGGGGGCAAGCGUUGUCCGGAAUCAUUGGGCGUAAAGCGCGUGUAGGCGGCUCGAUAAGUCUGCUGUGAAAGUCCAGGGCUCAACCCUGGGAUGCCGGUGGAUACUGUCGAGCUCGAGUCCGGAAGAGGCGAGUGGAAUUCCCAGUGUAGCGGUGAAAUGCGUAGAUAUUGGGAAGAACACCUGAGGCGAAGGCGGGUUGCUGGGCCGACACUGACGCUGAGGCGCGAAAGCAUGGGGAGCGAACAGG
rnacentral:rRNA from 1 species